rnacentral:rRNA from 1 species
CAGUAGCCGCGGGAAUACGUAGGGUGCAAGCGUUAAUCGGAAUUACUGGGCGUAAAGCGUGCGCAGGCGGUUAUAUAAGACAGAUGUGAAAUCCCCGGGCUCAACCUGGGAACUGCAUUUGUGACUGUAUAGCUAGAGUACGGCAGAGGGGGAUGGAAUUCCGCGUGUAGCAGUGAAAUGCGUAGAUAUGCGGAGGAACACCGAUGGCGAAGGCAAUCCCCUGGGCCUGUACUGAUGCUCAUGCACGAAAGCGUGGGGAGCAAACAGGAUUAGAGACCCCUGUAGUCCCUGUCUCUUAUAC